rnacentral:rRNA from 1 species
GAUGAACGCUGGCGGCGUGCCUAAUACAUGCAAGUCGAGCGAACGGACGAGAAGCUUGCUCUUCUGCUGUUAGCGGCGGACGGGUGAGUAACACGUGGAUAACCUACCUAUAAGACUGGGAUAACUUCGGGAAACCGGAGCUAAUACCGGAUAAUAUUUUGAACCGCAUGGUUCAAAAGUGAAAGACGGUCUUGCUGUCACUUAUAGAUGGAUCCGCGCUGCAUUAGCUAGUUGGUAAGGUAACGGCUUACCAAGGCAACGAUGCAUAGCCGACCUGAGAGGGUGAUCGGCCACACUGGAACUGAGACACGGUCCAGACUCCUACGGGAGGCAGCAGUAGGGAAUCUUCCGCAAUGGGCGAAAGCCUGACGGAGCAACGCCGCGUGAGUGAUGAAGGUCUUCGGAUCGUAAAACUCUGUUAUUAGGGAAGAACAUAUGUGGAAGUAACUGUGCACAUCUUGACGGUACCUAAUCAGAAAGCCACGGCUAACUACGUG